UACAGAGGGGCAAGCGUUGUUCGGAAUUACUGGGCGUAAAGGGCGCGUAGGCGGCCUCUUAAGUCGAACGUGAAAUCCCCGGGCUCAACCCGGGAACUGCGUCCGAUACUGGGGGGCUUGAAUCCGGGAGAGGGAUGUGGAAUUCCAGGUGUAGCGGUGAAAUGCGUAGAUAUCUGGAGGAACACCGGUGGCGAAGGCGGCAUCCUGGACCGGUAUUGACGCUGAGGCGCGAAAGCCAGGGGAGCAAAGCGGG
rnacentral:rRNA from 1 species